rnacentral:rRNA from 1 species
ACUCCAUGAAGCUGGAUUCGCUAGUAAUCGCGCAUCAGCCAUGGCGCGGUGAAUACGUUCCCGGGCCUUGUACACACCGCCCGUCAAGCCAUGGAAGCCGGGAGUGCCUGAAGUGUGCAACCGCAAGGAGCGCCCUAAGGUAAAACUGGUGACUGGGGCUAAGUCGUAACAAGGUAAC